GAUGAACGCUGGCGGCGUGCUUAACACAUGCCAGUCGAACGGUGAAGCAGAGCUUGCUCUGUGGAUCAGUGGCGAACGGGUGAGUAACACGUGAGCAACCUGCCCCUGACUCUGGGAUAAGCGCUGGAAACGGCGUCUAAUACUGGAUAUGAGCUGCGACCGCAUGGUCAGCAGUUGGAAAGAUUUUUCGGUCUGGGAUGGGCUCACGGCCUAUCAGCUUGUUGGUGAGGUAAUGGCUCACCAAGGCGUCGACGGGUAGCCGGCCUGAGAGGGUGACCGGCCACACUGGGACUGAGACACGGCCCAGACUCCUACGGGAGGCAGCAGUGGGGAAUAUUGCACAAUGGGCGAAAGCCUGAUGCAGCAACGCCGCGUGAGGGAUGACGGCCUUCGGGUUGUAAACCUCUUUUAGCAGGGAAGAAGCGAGAGUGACGGUACCUGCAGAAAAAGCGCCGGCUAACUACGUG
rnacentral:rRNA from 1 species